rnacentral:rRNA from 1 species
CUUCCUACGGGGGGCAGCAGUCGAGAAUCAUUCACAAUGGGGGAAACCCUGAUGGCGCGACGCCGCGUGGGGGACUGAAGGUCUUCGGAUUGUAAACCCCUGUCAUGUGGGAGCAAAUUAAAAAGAUAGAACCACAAGAGGAAGAGACGGCUAACUCUGUGCCAGCAGCCGCGGUAAUACAGAGGUCUCAAGCGUUGUUCGGAAUCACUGGGCGUAAAGCAUGCGUGGUAUGUUUCGUAAGUCGUGUG